GCCCAGCUGGCUCAGUUGGUAGCGCAUGUGACUCUUGAUCUCAUGGUCGUGAGUUCAAACCGCACUUUGGGCG